GCCAUGGGCAGGUUGAAGGUUGGGUAACACUAACUGGAGGACCGAACCGACUAAUGUUGAAAAAUUAGCGGAUGACCUGUGGCUGGGGGUGAAAGGCCAAUCAAACCGGGAGAUAGCUGGUUCUCCCCGAAAGCUAUUUAGGUAGCGCCUCGUGAAUUCAUCUCCGGGGGUAGAGCACUGUUUCGGCUAGGGGGCCAUCCCGGCUUACCAACCCGAUGCAAACUGCGAAUACCGGAGAAUGUUAUCACGGGAGACACACGGCGGGUGCUAACGUCCGUCGUGAAGAGGGAAACAACCCAGACCGCCAGCUAAGGUCCCAAAGUCAUGGUUAAGUGGGAAACGAUGUGGGAAGGCCCAGACAGCCAGGAUGUUGGCUUAGAAGCAGCCAUCAUUUAAAGAAAGCGUAAUAGCUCACUGGUCGAGUCGGCCUGCGCGGAAGAUGUAACGGGGCUAAACCAUGCACCGAAGCUGCGGCAGCGACACUGUGUGUUGUUGGGUAGGGGAGCGUUCUGUAAGCCUGUGAAGGUGUGUCGUGAGGC
rnacentral:rRNA from 1 species